GAUGAACGCUGGCGGCGUGCCUAAUACAUGCAAGUCGAGCGAACAGACGAGGAGCCUGCUCCUCUGACGUUAGCGGCGGACGGGUGAGUAACACGUGGAUAACCUACCUAUAAGACUGGGAUAACUUCGGGAAGCCGGAGCUAAUACCGGAUAAUAUAUUGAACCGCAUGGUUCAAUAGUGAAAGACGGUUUUGCUGUCACUUAUAGAUGGAUCCGCGCCGCAUUAGCUAGUUGGUAAGGUAACGGCUUACCCAGGCAACGAUGCGUAGCCGACCUGAGAGGUGGUUCGCCCACCCUGAACCGGGAACACGUCCCGACUCCCUCCGGAGGCAGGAGUAGGGAAUUCUUCGGAAUGGGCCAAAGGCUUACGGAGCCAACGCGGGGUAGUGGUGAAGGGCUUUCGAUUCUAAAACCCCUUUAUUAGGGAAGAACAAAAGUGGAAGGAACCUAGCCCCGUCUGACGGUUACUAAAUAGAAAGCCCCGGCUAACUUCCUG
rnacentral:rRNA from 1 species